ensembl:lincRNA
CCUGUCUGUCCUUGCCCAUUUCCCCUUUAGGAUUUCAGUAUAGUCUUUAAGAGUUCCCGUGCUAGUGUAGUGUAGUAGAGAAGUUGGGUGUACACGGUAUCGAAGGCCAGGACACAAGAACUUGGAGAAGAAAGUUGAUUUAUUUCAACUGGCUGGACUCAGCAGACUCCUGUCCUAGUAAAAACCGAGUCCCAAAUAGAAUAUUAGGUUCCCUUUUAUACAUAAAAGAUAUAAAGGUUGGGAGUUAAAUGGUGCAUUUAUGAAAGAAAACGACUUCAGUUAAGUGUUUGUCUGAGUACUAGAUAUGUUUUGAACUAAAGUACCACCCCAUAUUUCAGGUAAUCUUGAAUUAAAAUCUCCCCCACAUUCCAUCUGGAUGAAAUCAUGAAUAUUCAUUCACUCUUACAUCCUUUCUGAACAUUUAAAGACUACAGGGCCUAUAUUACUUAUUCGGAUUUCUAGAGACUAGGUACACUUGGAUAGAAUUGGACGAUUUUGAAUUUACGCACAGGCUAUACUACUAUAAGUUGCAAACAUUUUCUCCAGACUGAGCUGAUUUACUGGGAAAAUACCGCAACUCCUUUGAACAUCUCUGGUGUACUUUCAUCUUCGUAAAUCACCUCAUUUUAGAAAUACCAGUGCCACUUUUACCAAAUAAUACCAUCGUUCGCAUUAACUCGGCCAGACCCGCUAAAUCUCGCUUCAAGGAACACAUUGAAGGUACAACAUGUAUUUUAUCGGAUUCACGAAAACCUCCCGGGAUUCGCCUUCGCCUCCUUUCUGGAUUACCGAGGGGCGCACCACCUCCACCUCCAGAGAACAACAGCUCUUGGUUUCGCCUCCACACUAGUCCAGGUCGGGACCAACCAAAAGGACGAGAAGCUGCACCACAUGACAGACGAAUAUGGCCCCAGCUUCCAAGUUGGUAAAACCGACAAAGUGAAGUUGCAGCGAGGAGAGGUCCCCAACUCGUCAUCACCCGGGGCCGCCGGCUCGCGGAAACAUCUCUGGGUGACCGCUGCAGCCACCACGUGGCCAAUCAGAGCACGGCCCUCGGCCGGACCCCUCCGCCAGGGCAGACGCCGCAGGUAUAGCGGGCAGAGGCGCGAGCGACCACCCGCCGGCGCCGCGCGUGGCCACGCCCCUUCCCGUGAUGCUCGUCGGCUGAACUCCGACCUUCCCCGUGCCCACCCCCUUCCCUGCCCCUGCGUCUGUCAGAUUCGGCAGCUGCAAGCGCGCACUGAGGGGCGCGGGAAGAUGCCGGCCUCGCUGCGGAAGGAAGGCUUCCCCAAGGUGCCUCGAGGCCCUGCGUCGGGGCCGCCGCUCCUGCUCCUUCUCCUCCCCGGGCGGCGCCCAGCCUCGAGCAGCGACUUCGCGGAUUCAAGAUGACCAGUGAAGAACCUCUUCCCAAAAAGGUAUGU